UUCAAUUCCUUGAUAGUAUUCUCGUGGGGUGGUUAGAUGGUUGCAACGCGCCUCGAUCGAGAGAGAGGGAGAGAGGGAGAGAGAGAGAGCUCCCGUAUCCUCGUCAAGGUCAUCGAUCAUCGGAACUAGGAAGUCCUUGCCGAUUCCGACGACGCUGACUCCGACGCGAGCCCUCGGACGCCGCGUUCGUCGAAGUCGACCGAGCCACUCUCUACGACACGCAUCUUGGAUUUUGCCCUUCUAGGCUUGCUACAGAUUGACGUAAAAAACAAAGAAGUAGCACAGGCAUUACAAGUCACGCGGGUGAUCACAUAUUUGGGCACAUCCCUUCCUGUCAAUAUAUCGGAGAAGUGAGUGGAUGAUAGAGCAUUCUAUGGUAUAGCAGUUAAGUCUCCAUUGACUCCCGUUGUGAAGUAACAUAUACUUGACUGGUUGUGGGAAAAAAAUUUGUGCUGUAGAGUUUUUGUGCUAUGAUAACAUAACAUUUGGAGGUAUGAGAAUUAGUUGAAUAACAUUUGGAACCAA